AUAAAAUAUAAAUUUUCAAAAUACUUUAAUUUAAAAACAAUUUUACUGUAUCUCCAGAAGGAUAUUGAUACUUUAGAGAGAUGUCAGAGGAGGGUUACAAAACUGGUUCAUGGAUUGCAUAAAACUUACCAGGAAAGGUUAAAGGAUCUUAACAUGUAUAGCUUGGAGGAAAGAAAGUGAAUCAACACAGUAAAGGAGGUGACUAUUUAAAAGAAAAAAACCACAACAAGAGGACACAGUCUUAAAUUAGAGGGGCAAAGGUUUAAAAAUAUCAGGAAGUAUUACUUUACCGAGAGGGUAGUGGAUGCAUAGCCUUCUGGCUGAAGUGGUAGAGGUUAACACAGUAAAGUAGUUUAAGCAUGCGUGGGAUAGGCAUAAGGCUAUCC